UGACCCCCCCUGGCCCCCCCCAGACCAGGUGAAGAGGAAGAUCCUGGUGCUGGACCUGGAUGAGACCCUGAUCCACUCCCACCACGACGGGGUCCUGAGACCCACUGUGCGCCCCGGGACCCCCCCCGACUUCAUCCUCAAGGUGGUGAUCGACAAACACCCCGUGAGGUUCUUCGUGCACAAACGGCCACACGUCGACUUCUUCC